ACACGUAGCGGCCAAGAUGGCGCUAGCGGUUGGAGCAGGGGCUCUGCUGCGACCUUUACGGUAGUGAGGUUAGGGACGAUGGGAGAGCAGCUUUGUUCCUGAAGUGCCGUCGAGGAUUAGGAUCGAGUUUCUUCGAUCGUGAGGGCAAUUAUUAGUGGCCUCUAGCCCCCCAGAUGGCAUCUUGAGGAGAGAGAAUCCACGCUACGAGAACUAACAUAGUGGACAUCGCAGUUGUCCGUAGCCGAUUUGCGGGUUACGGAGUUGUUGCAAGUAAAGAAGGGGAAAUCCGAGCGUUCUCGCGUUGGAUUUCCUCCACGUGUGAAGUGGGAAUGGUAGUGAUAUCUCGUGCUAUCUCUGUCAAGGGCAAGAAGGAGAAGGAAUUUAUUUGAGGCCCUACGACGUGAACUGCCGGGCACAGUGGCUCACUCCUGUAAUCACAACACUUUGAGAUGCCGAGUCGGGAGGAUCAUGAGGUGAGGAGUUUGAGACCAGCCUGGCCAACGUAGCGAAACCCCGCCUCUACUAAAAAUACAAAAAAACAGCCAGGCGUGGUGGCGGGCACCUGUGAUCCCAGCAACUCAGGAGGCUGAGGCAGGAGAAUAGCAUGAACCCGCGAGGCGGAGCUUGCAGUGAGCCGAGAUCACGCCACUGCACUCCAGCCUGGGCGACAGAGUGAGACUCCGUCUCAAAAAAAAAAAAAAAAAAAUCUAUACCAUGAAAAGUAUGUGAUGCUGUAUGUAAUAUUUUAGAAUUUAUUUACUGUUUUUAUUUAUAUUGCUAAGAGUCAUCCAUAUUGUCGCAUGUUGCUAUGGUUCAUUUAUUUUAACUGUUGUUUCUCCAUUGUGUGAAUUUAUCCAUUUUUUCACCCAUUCUCCCAUUGAUGAACAUUUUAUUGUUUUUGUUCAUGUGAACAGUUUGCUCUGAAUAUUCUUGUUCAUGCCGCCUAUUGAAAUUAUGAAUUUCUCUAAGUCAUUUGAACCCAAGACUUAGAGAAAUUGUUGGGUCAACUUUUGUCCUAAAGUUAAAUAUUCAUGUGUUCAACUUUAGGAGAAAAUGCCAGGCCAUUUUCAAAUGUUAGACAUAAUAUUUGAUACUGUGAGAAUGAGAAUAAGAGUGUAAAAGUGGAAGCAUGGAGAUCAAUCUUUGGGAUGCUCCCACUGCACUCUGCUCUUUGUCCAAGAGACUUGGCCAAAUUCCCUCUUUUUUAGAAGCCUCACCUCCUCCCACACCAGGCACAAUCAGUUUUCCUCCUGUAGGUUCCCAAGGCACCUGUUUCAUGCCAUACUUUAGGUAAUUAUCAGACUGUAUUGAGAUAAUAAUUCCUUCUAGCAGGUAGGAAGCUUCUAGAAGGCAUAGGCCAAGAUUCUUUGUAUUCUCCAUGCCCAGGACCUAGAUGAGCACAAUAAAUAUUUCAGUAAAUGAACGUUCUUCCUCAAAUCUAUACCCCCACUUUCCCAGUAUCAGAUAAUGAAUGAAAUUUAUUCUUUCUUUAAUAAUAUAGAAUAUAAUUGCUUGUUUCCAUGGUAGUUGCCAAUGCCAAAGCUCCUUGAAGGAAGGAACUACACCCCUUUUUUAUUAUAUCCAGCCUUUAAUAUAGUGCUUGGCAAAUUGUAGAUUCUUGAAAAGCGUAUUGAAUAUGUUUAAUAAAUUGAAACUUGCAGCAUUUUAAGAGUGUUUAUUCACAGCCUGGGCAACAUAGUGAGACUCCAUCUCUAUAAAAACAUUUUUUAAAAAUUAGCCAGGUGUGGUGGCAUGUAUCCAUAGUCCUAGCUACUUGGGACUGAGGCAGGAGGAUUGCUUCAGCUAAGGAAUUUGAGGUUACAGUGAGCCAUGAUCAUGCCACUGCACUCCAGCCUAGGUGAAAAAGUGAAAACCUGUCUCAAAGAAAAAAAAAAGUGUUUAUUCUGAAUGUCAGUUACCAUGGUCCAAUGCUGGAGAUAAAAUGUAGAAGAUUUAGCUACUUAUAAAUAUGCCAUGAUGACCGUAGAACAUAUCCAUGCAUGUGGCUUAAAAAACAAAAAUAAAACAAUUCUUGGAUAUCAAAGGGUGAGAUUUCAUUUAUAUUAUAUAAAGUUCAAAAGCAGUUGAAAAUAAUCUAUAGUGAUAGAGGUCUGAAUAGUAAAUACCUUUAGGGAGCGACCUAUAGAACACGUGGGAGCCUACUAGGAUGCUAUCAAUCUUCUAUAUUUUGAUCUGAGUAGGGGCUAUAUGUAUAGAUAUUGCAUAUGUGAAAGUUUAUUAGGCUGUACGUAAAUGAUUUAUGUGCUUUAUAUAGAUUGUAUCUCAAUAAAAGUAAAAAGCACUA
rnacentral:lncRNA from 1 species